AGGACCAAAGAAAUCACAGAAAUGCUAGGGAUAAUUUUUCAGAUUUUACAAUCUAUCUUUCUGCAUGAAAUACGGGGAUCCCUUGCUGGAUCAUACAUAUAUAUCUCAAUAUCAGAGGAAAUAUGGUUUUAAUUUGAACACAGGAAUUGGUGGAAGAAAACUUGACAUCUGUUUGCAACUCUGACCCUAUGGAUGUGGGUAAAUUUUUUACAGUAUAGAACAUCUUUCAUGGAAGCAGAUGCUGAACAGACCUCUACACUUCAGCUUGAAACAUCACUGAAGAUGGUAGAACAGAAAAUCUUUGAAGCAAUGUGACAGAUUUAUAAAGAGAAUCUUUCAUAUUCGCCACUCUCACAACAGCAGAAAUCACAACUGUUCAGUAAACGUUUAAGAGAAGAGGUCUGAAAUGUGUAAGAGGAAACAUUUUCACGUAAUCUUAUCAUUAAAUAAUAUAAUUCUGUCUCAAGAUACUGCCAAUGCUAGAGGUUUAGAAAAGAGGACAAACAAAAACACAUGCAAAAGUAGCUUUUAAAAAGGAGGCCGGGCUCGGAUUUGUGGAGGCCGUGUCCACCUGCAAACAAAAUAUUGUGCACCCUGUAUGUCUGUG